rnacentral:lncRNA from 1 species
CUUGAGCCGACCCAACUCUCCACCUUCUUCCUUCCACCAAACCAAAAGUCUCCCUCUCUUCUUCCUCAAAUCCAAGUUUUCUCUCAAGAUCCUUCUCCCACCAUCUCUCACCCUCUAAAUCACCCUCUUGGAACCAAGUUCCUCCCCUUCUUCUUCUUCAUUUGGAGCGAUUCGAGCUAACCCUAGACUCUAUCUGUCUCCUCCAAAUCGGCACAUCACUUCUCCAAAAUCUUUAUCUUUCCACUAAAAACCCUUCAUCUCUCCCUCACAUUUGCUCUCCUAAGUUCUGUGCUAGUCCUGCCUGUGCAAAUGGCUCCCA